rnacentral:rRNA from 1 species
CCCUGGUUGAUCCUGCCAGUAGUCAUAUGCUUGUCUCAAAGAUUAAGCCAUGCAUGUCUCAGUACAUACCGAAAUAAGGUGAAACCGCGAAAGGCUCAUUAUAUCAGUUAUGGUUCAUUAGAUCGUACCCCACAUUUACUUGGAUAACUGUGGUAAUUCUAGAGCUAAUACACGCAAACAGAACUCCGACCGGAGACGGAAGGAGCGCUUUUAUUAGAUCAAAACCGAUAGGCGGAGGUUCGGUUCCGCGGCGUCCCUCGCGGCGUCGCGCCGUCCUCCGCAACAUAAAUCGCACGACGAAUCUGAAUAACUUCAUGCCGAUCGCACGGUCUCGCACCGGCGACGGAUCUUUCAAAUGUCUGCCUUAUCAACUUUCGAUGGUAGGUUAUGCGCCUACCAUGGUUGUAACGGGUAACGGGGAAUCAGGGUUCGAUUCCGGAGAGGGAGCCUGAGAAACGGCUACCACAUCCAAGGAAGGCAGCAGGCGCGCAAAUUACCCACUCCCGGCACGGGGAGGUAGUGACGAAAAAUAACGAUACGGGACUCAUCCGAGGCCCCGUGAUCGGAAUGAGCACACUUUAAAUCCUUUAACUAGGAUCAAUUGGAGGGCAAGUCUGGUGCCAGCAGCCGCGGUAAUUCCAGCUCCAAUAGCGUAUAUUAAAGUUGCUGCGGUUAAAAAGCUCGUAGUCGAAAUUGUGUCCCGGGCCGCCGGUUCGUCGCUCGCGACGCCAACUGGCGCGCACGCGGGACGUCCAGCCGGUACCGCUAACCCGCCGACGGUGCUCUUGACCGAGUGUCCAGGCGGGGGCCGGCAACGUUACUUUGAACAAAUUAAAGUGCUUAAAGCAGGCUAAACUGCGCUCGUAUAAUACGUGCAUGGAAUAAUCGAAUAGGACCUCUGUUCUAUUUUGUUGGUUUUUGUGGAACGCACAGAGGUAAUGAUCAAUGGGUGCGGAUGGGGGCAUUCGUAUUGCGACGUUAGAGGUGAAAUUCUUGGAUCGUCGCAAGACGCACUAAAGCGAAAGCAUUUGCCAAAAACGCUUUCAUCGAUCAAGAACGAAAGUUAGAGGUUCGAAGGCGAUCAGAUACCGCCCUAGUUCUAACCAUAAACUAUGCCAGCUAGCGAUCCGCCGCAGUUACUACUACGACUCGGCGGGCAGCUUUCGGGAAACCAAAGCUUUUGGGUUCCGGGGGAAGUAUGGUUGCAAAGCUGAAACUUAAAGGAAUUGACGGAAGGGCACCACCAGGAGUGGAGCCUGCGGCUUAAUUUGACUCAACACGGGAAACCUCACCAGGCCCGGACACCGAAAGGAUUGACAGAUUGAGAGCUCUUUCUUGAUUCGGUGGGUGGUGGUGCAUGGCCGUUCAUAGUUGGUGGAGCGAUUUGUCUGGUUAAUUCCGAUAACGAACGAGACUCUGGCCUGCUAAAUAGCCGACCGGACGCGGCGCUCGUCGUCGCGUCACGGACAUCUCGAAGGCCCGCUGUCGUGGCGGCCCCCGCGUCGUGAUCCCUCGCCGUAGGCCGCCGUGCCGGGCGCGAGCGCGCGCGCGCAUCCUCGUGGUGCGCCGCCGCCGCGGCGCCCGCUCGGAGCGGCACGGGUGGGACGCGCGGGGUGUCCGUCCGCGCGUGGUUCUUACACUGUCCGCGGACAAACUGAUCUUCUUAGAGGGACAAGCGGCUUGAAGCCGCGCUAUAAAGAGCAAUAACAGGUCUGUGAUGCCCUUAGAUGUCCUGGGCCGCACGCGCGCUACACUGAAGGAGUCAGCGUGUGCGUACAAGCCCUCGGCCGAGAGGCCCGGGUAACCCGCUGAAACUCCUUCGUGCUAGGGAUCGGGGCUUGAAAUUCUUCCCCGUGAACGAGGAAUUCCCAGUAAGCGCGAGUCAUAAGCUCGCGUUGAUUACGUCCCUGCCCUUUGUACACACCGCCCGUCGCUACUACCGAUCGAACGAUUUAGCGAGGUCUUCGGACUGGCGCCCGGCGACUUAACGUCGACGGUUCGCGCGGGAAAGUUGACCGAACUUGAUCGUUUAGAGGAAGUAAAAGUCGUAACAAGGUUUCCGUAGGUGAACCUGCGGAAGGAUCAUUA